GAUGAAGAACGUAGCGAAAUGCGAUAAGUAAUGCGAAUUGCAGAAUUUCCGUGAGUCAUCGAAUCUUUGAACGCACAUUGCGCCCACUGGUAUUCCGGUGGGCAUGCCUGUUCGAGCGUCAUUAUCCCCCCUCAAACCCCGUGUUUGGUGUUAGACCCAAGUUGUGUGAACAACUGGUCUCAAAGACAAUGACGGCGUCCGUGGGACCCUCGGUGCAACGAGCUUUUAGGAGCACGCGCUGAACUUAAGCAUAUCAAUAAGCGGAGGA
rnacentral:misc_RNA from 1 species